rnacentral:rRNA from 1 species
AGAGUUUGAUCAUGGCUCAGGACGAACGCUGGCGGCGUGCUUAACACAUGCAAGUCGAGCGGAAAGGCUCCUUCGGGGGUACUCGAGCGGCGAACGGGUGAGUAACACGUGAGUAAUCUGCCCUCCACUCUGGGAUAACGUUCAGAAAUGGGUGCUAAUACCGGAUGUACACAGGCUGACGCAUGUUGGUGUGUGGAAAGGUUUUCUGGUGGGGGAUGUGCUCGCGGCCUAUCAGCUUGUUGGUGGGGUAAUGGCCUACCAAGGCUUUGACGGGUAGCCGGCCUGAGAGGGUGACCGGCCACACUGGGACUGAGACACGGCCCAGACUCCUACGGGAGGCAGCAGUGGGGAAUAUUGGACAAUGGGCGGAAGCCUGAUCCAGCAACGCCGCGUGAGGGAUGACGGCCUUCGGGUUGUAAACCUCUUUCACUAUUGACGAAGCUGCAUCUUUUUGGGUGUGGUGACGGUAGGUGGGGAAGAAGCACCGGCCAACUACGUGCCAGCAGCCGCGGUAAUACGUAGGGUGCGAGCGUUGUCCGGAAUUAUUGGGCGUAAAGGGCUCGUAGGCGGUUUGUCGCGUCGGGAGUGAAAACCUUGGGCUUAACUCAGGGCUUGCUUUCGAUACGGGCAGACUAGAGGUAUGCAGGGGAGAACGGAAUUCCUGGUGUAGCGGUGAAAUGCGCAGAUAUCAGGAGGAACACCGGUGGCGAAGGCGGUUCUCUGGGCAUGAUCUGACGCUGAGGAGCGAAAGUGUGGGGAGCGAACAGGAUUAGAUACCCUAGUAGUCC